GAGCUCUCUUCGGCAGCACGUAUACUAAGAUUGGAAUGAUACAGAGAAGAUUAAUGUGACCCCUGCUCAAGCUAACGAGUAAUAUAAAAUACUACAUUUUGUU
ensembl:snRNA U6 U6 spliceosomal RNA